UACGUAGGGUGCGAGCGUUAAUCGGAAUUACUGGGCGUAAAGCGUGCGCAGGCGGUUUUGUAAGCCAGAUGUGAAAUCCCCGGGCUUAACCUGGGAAUGGCAUUUGGGACUGCAAGGCUCGAGUGCGGCAGAGGAGACUGGAAUCCCUGGUGUAGCAGUGAAAUGCGUAGAUAUCAGGAGGAACACCGAUGGCGAAGGCAGGUCUCUGGGCUGACACUGACGCUCAUGCACGAAAGCGUGGGGAGCAAACAGG
rnacentral:rRNA from 1 species